GUGACAUAAAUUGCAGUGAAAGAACUCGAAGGAAAGACUGAACAAACCACAAAAGUACUGCUGGGCCAGCAGAUUGCCAGGAAGGGAGGAAGGGGGCACAACAGGCUAGGGUGAGUAAGGCCAGCAUCUUCCAGGAAAACAGAACCAACCACAGCCCACAGAAGGAAACUGCUUAGGAAAGGCCGAAGUCCAUGAGUGUAUUCCCCUAAGAGAACUGGACCACAGUGCAGAUUGGCGGCACGGCUGACCAGAAACAGAACGUCAACACCACCUGUGCUCAUCCUGUCUUCCUGGGGAGAUAAGAUUUUUACGCAAGUCUGGAAUUAGAACUGUGAUUGAAGAAAAGAGUGGCCAGUCUUUGAUGCAAACGAGCCCAACACAAUUCCUGGCACAGAGGUAGCAUUAUGUAAUGAUCACUGAAUGAAUGAAUGAGAAACUGGGGGGAAACUUGCACGACACUAUGACCCCACAGAGGAAACCUCCUUCGUCCCCUGAGUACCCCUGGGCACUGCCGCAACUCUGUCCGACCACAGCCUGGACCUCAGCACUUCUCCGUGAUUUCAAACAUGAAGCUCUUCAUCUCUGACUCCAUCUUCCAUUGCCUCCCACCUCUCCCUCACAUUCACCUCCCUUCACCCUCAUUUAGCCACCAGGAGUUUAAUUUUCUCUAUCCUCUCAGUCAAGGAGGAAAACAAAUAUGUGACGAAGACCCUCAGAUGUGAAUACCAGAGCUUCCCAGAUAAAGGAAGAUUACAUCGGCAUCAAGAAACAGUCUGUCCAGGAUGCCAGGGGCAGAGGUCUUAUUCAGAGAUACCUGGGCUGAGUCUGCUUUUUCCCUUUACCCCCCACCCCACCCCCCAUCCCCUAC